rnacentral:rRNA from 1 species
UAAGGAAUCUUCCACAAUGGGCGAAAGCCUGAUGGAGCAACGCCGCGUGCAGGAUGAAGGCCCUCGGGUCGUAAACUGCUUUUAUGAGUGAAGAAUAUGACGGUAACUCAUGAAUAAGUACCGGCUAACUACGUGCCAGCAGCCGCGGUCAUACGUAGGGUGCAAGCAUUAUCCGGAGUGACUGGGCGUAAAGAGUUGCGUAGGCGGUUAGUAAAGCGAAUAGUGAAACCUGGUGGCUCAACCAUACAGACUAUUAUUCGAACUCACUAACUCGAGAGUGGUAGAGGUAACUGGAAUUUCAUGUGUAGGAGUGAAAUCCGUAGAUAUAAGAAGGAACACCAAUGGCGUAGGCAGGUUACUGGACCAUUUCUGACGCUAAGGCACGAAAGCGUGGGGAGCGAACC